GCCGUGGUGGUGUAGUGGUAUCACACCCGAGGUCUUAACACGUGCGCAGUCAUUCGUUGUUACUCAACGCCGUGUCAGUCUAGAUCCGAGGAGGUCGCGGGUUCGAUUCCUGCCCAUGGUG
rfam:Aureobasidium pullulans var. pullulans EXF-150 unplaced genomic scaffold scaffold_15, whole genome shotgun sequence.